rnacentral:tRNA from 1 species
UGUAAUUCAGUUGGUAGAAGGCUUGCCUAGCAUGCAUGAAGUCCUGGGUUCAAGCCCCAGCA